CCUACGGGAGGCAGCAGUGAGGAAUAUUGGUCAAUGGGCGAGAGCCUGAACCAGCCAAGUCGCGUGAGGGAGUACUGCCCUAUGGGUUGUAAACCUCUUUUGUCGGGGAGCAAAAGCCGGACGUGUCCGGCUGUGAGAGUACCCGAAGAAAAAGCAUCGGCUAACACCGUUCCAGCAGCCGCGGUAAUACGGAGGAUGCGAGCGUUAUCCGGAUUUAUUGGGUUAAAAGGGUGCGCAGGCGGAGUUUUAAGUCAGCGGUAAAAUCGUGGGGCUCAACCCCAUCCAGCCGUUGAAACUGGGGAUCUAGAGUGUGCGAGAGGUAUGCGGAAUGCGUGGUGUAGCGGUGAAAUGCAUAGAUAUCACGCAGAACCCCGAUUGCGAAGGCAGCAUACCGGUGCACAACUGACGCUCAGGCACGAAAGCGUGGGUAUCGAACAGGAUUAGAUACCCUGGUAGUC
rnacentral:rRNA from 1 species